GACGAACGCUGGCGGCGCGCCUAACACAUGCAAGUCGAACGAGAGACGAGGAGCUUGCUCUUCAAAUCGAGUGGCGAACGGGUGAGUAACGCGUGAGGAACCUGCCUCAAAGAGGGGGACAACAGUUGGAAACGACUGCUAAUACCGCAUAAGCCCACGGCUCGGCAUCGAGCAGGGGGAAAAGGAGCAAUCCGCUUUGAGAUGGCCUCGCGUCCGAUUAGCUAGUUGGUGAGAUAACGGCCCACCAAGGCGACGAUCGGUAGCCGGACUGAGAGGUUGAACGGCCACAUUGGGACUGAGACACGGCCCAGACUCCUACGGGAGGCAGCAGUGGGGAAUAUUGCACAAUGGGGGAAACCCUGAUGCAGCGACGCCGCGUGGAGGAAGAAGGUCUUCGGAUUGUAAACUCCUGUUGUUGAGGAAGAUAAUGACGGUACUCAACAAGGAAGUGACGGC
rnacentral:rRNA from 1 species